rnacentral:rRNA from 1 species
AUGAACGCUAGCUACAGGCUUAACACAUGCAAGUCGAGGGGCAGCAUGAACUUAGCUUGCUAAGUUUGAUGGCGACCGGCGCACGGGUGAGUAACACGUAUCCAACCUGCCGAUGACUCGGGGAUAGCCUUUCGAAAGAAAGAUUAAUACCCGAUGGCAUAGUUCUUCCGCAUGGUAGAACUAUUAAAGAAUUUCGGUCAUCGAUGGGGAUGCGUUCCAUUAGGUUGUUGGCGGGGUAACGGCCCACCAAGCCUUCGAUGGAUAGGGGUUCUGAGAGGAAGGUCCCCCACAUUGGAACUGAGACACGGUCCAAACUCCUACGGGAGGCAGCAGUGAGGAAUAUUGGUCAAUGGACGAGAGUCUGAACCAGCCAAGUAGCGUGAAGGAUGACUGCCCUAUGGGUUGUAAACUUCUUUUAUACGGGAAUAAAGUGAGGCACGUGUGCCUUUUUGUAUGUACCGUAUGAAUAAGGAUCGGCUAACUCCGUGCCAGCAGCCGCGGUAAUACGGAGGAUCCGAGCGUUAUCCGGAUUUAUUGGGUUUAAAGGGAGCGUAGGCGGACGCUUAAGUCAGUUGUGAAAGUUUGCGGCUCAACCGUAAAAUUGCAGUUGAUACUGGGUGUCUUGAGUACAGUAGAGGCAGGCGGAAUUCGUGGUGUAGCGGUGAAAUGCUUAGAUAUCACGAAGAACUCCGAUUGCGAAGGCAGCUUGCUGGACUGUAACUGACGCUGAUGCUCGAAAGUGUGGGUAUCAAACAGGAUUAGAUACCCUGGUAGUCCACACAGUAAACGAUGAAUACUCGCUGUUUGCGAUAUACAGUAAGCGGCCAAGCGAAAGCGUUAAGUAUUCCACCUGGGGAGUACGCCGGCAACGGUGAAACUCAAAGGAAUUGACGGGGGCCCGCACAAGCGGAGGAACAUGUGGUUUAAUUCGAUGAUACGCGAGGAACCUUACCCGGGCUUGAAUUGCAACUGAAUGAUGUGGAGACAUGUCAGCCGCAAGGCAGUUGUGAAGGUGCUGCAUGGUUGUCGUCAGCUCGUGUCGUGAGAUGUUAGGUUAAGUCCUGCAACGAGCGCAACCCCUGUGAUUAGUUGCCAACAGGUUAAGCUGGGAACUCUAAUCAGACUGCCGGUGAUAAAUCGGAGGAAGGUGGGGAUGACGUCAAAUCAGCACGGCCCUUACGUCCGGGGCUACACACGUGUUACAAUGGGGGGUACAGAAGGCAGCUACACGGCGACGUGAUGCUAAUCCCGAAAGCCUCUCUCAGUUCGGAUUGGAGUCUGCAACCCGACUCCAUGAAGCUGGAUUCGCUAGUAAUCGCGCAUCAGCCACGGCGCGGUGAAUACGUUCCCGGGCCUUGUACACACCGCCCGUCACACCAUGAGAGUUGGGAAUACCCGAAGCCUGUGAGCCAACUAAUUUAUUAGAGGCAGCAGUCGAAGGUAGAAUCAAUGAUUGGGGUG